rnacentral:rRNA from 1 species
CCGGAAAUCACUAUUACUGCCGCGUUCGCGCACGCAAGCGGUCUGUUAAGACCCAUGUGAAAUCCCCGUUUUUGCCUGGGAACUGCAUUUGAACUGGCUUCUUGAGUCUCGUACAUGGGGGUACAAUUCCAGGUGUACUCGUGAAAUGCAUGAAGAUCUGGAGGAAUACCCGCGGUCAACGGGGUCCCCUGGACGAAGACUGACUCUCAUGCGCAACAGCGCGGGGAGCAAACAGGAUUAGAUACCCUGGCGUCCACGGACUUAACCAUGUCUUCUUGGAGGGUGUUCCCUUGAGGAGUGGCUUCCGGAGCUAACGCGUUCCCCAAACCGCCUGGGGACUACGGCCGCAAGGCUGGACUCAAAUGAAUUGACGGGGGCCCGCACAACAGCUGGAUCAUGCGCAUGAAUUCCAUGUAGCGCGGACAACCUUACCUACUCUUGACAUCCAACCAACUUGGCAKACAUGCCUUGGGGCCUUCUGGAACGCUUAGACCCGGGCUGCAUGGCUGUCGGCAACUCGCGYUGUGAAAUGUUGGGUUACGGCCCGCACCAACCGGAACCCUUAUCCUGUGUUGUCACCAAUUCUUCCGGGAACUCAGAGGAGACUGCCGGUGAUAAACCGGAGGAAGGUGGGGAUGACUCCAAAUCAUCAUGGUCCUUACGCUA